rnacentral:rRNA from 1 species
AUUGAACGCUGGCGGCAGGCCUAACACAUGCAAGUCGAACGAGUGGCGGACGGGUGAGUAAUGUCUGGGAAACUGCCUGAUGGAGGGGGAUAACUACUGGGAACGGUAGCUAAUACCGCAUACCAUCGGAUGUGCCCAGAUGGGAGUAGCUAGUAGGUGGGGUAAUGGCUCACCAAGGCGACGAUCCCUAGCUGGUCGGAGAGGAUGACCACCCACACUGGAACGGUGACACGGUCCAGACUCUGACGGGUGGCAGCAGUGGGGAGUAUUGCACAAUGGGCGCAAGCCUGAUGCAGCCAGGCGGGGUGUAUGAAGAAGGCAUUCGGGUUAUAAAGUACUUUCAGCGAUGAGUCGUUACCCGCAGAAGAAGCACCGGCUAACUCCGUGCCAGCCGCCGCGGUAAUAC